UACGUAGGGGGCAAGCGUUGUCCGGAAUCAUUGGGCGUAAAGCGCGUGUAGGCGGCCAGGUAAGUCCGUUCUGAAAGCCCGGGGCUCAACCCCGGGAGGCGGAUGGAUACUGCUUGGCUCGAGUCCGGAAGAGGCGAGUGGAAUUCCCGGUGUAGCGGUGAAAUGCGCAGAUAUCGGGAGGAACACCAAUGGCGAAGGCAGCUCGCUGGGACGGUACUGACGCUGAGACGCGAAAGCUAGGGGAGCGAACAGG
rnacentral:rRNA from 1 species